rnacentral:rRNA from 1 species
AUUGAACGCUGGCGGCAGGCUUAACACAUGCAAGUCGAGCGGGGGAAGGUAGCUUGCUACUGGACCUAGCGGCGGACGGGUGAGUAAUGCUUAGGAAUCUGCCUAUUAGUGGGGGACAACAUCUCCAAAGGGAUGCUAAUACCGCAUCCGUCAUACGGGAGAAAGCAGGGGAUCUUCGGACCUUGCGCUAAUAGAUGAGCCUAAGUCGGAUUAGCUAGUUGGUGGGGUAAAGGCCUACCAAGGCGACGAUCUGUAGCGGGUCUGAGAGGAUGAUCCGCCACACUGGGACUGAGACACGGCCCAGACUCCUACGGGAGGCAGCAGUGGGGAAUAUUGGACAAUGGGGGGAACCCUGAUCCAGCCAUGCCGCGUGUGUGAAGAAGGCCUUAUGGUUGUAAAGCACUUUAAGCGAGGAGGAGGCUACUUUAGUUAAUACCUAGAGAUAGUGGACGUUACUCGCAGAAUAAGCACCGGCUAACUCUGUGCCAGCCGCCGCAGUAA